CAACAGCCUUGUUUUCUUUUAGGGAGCCCCUUAAAUCAGCAAAGUCAGGCUAAGUCAGCAACCAGCUAUCUUAGCACAAAGACUGAAAAUAAGGGAAAACAGCUAGCCUGGCAAUGCCUAAAGGUCACAAAAUCCACCGACCAGCACAUCUAAUGCUCACUGAUCACCAUGUUAUGUAUUGUUUGGAGCAGUUGCAAGGCAACCAACGGAGACUUCAAAACAGAUCAACAGAAAAAAACAAAACCAAAAACACAACAUCUUUUUUCUCUAAUUUUUAACUCAUAAGGUCAAUUAAAAUGUCAAACUAUAUCCUUUAAAAAAAAUUGGAAAUGCUUCUGACACAGCAGUAGUGUUGCCAUGCAACUGGCUGCGUCCUUAAAUUUUUAUUUGUAGCCUACUAAUGAGAGAAGCACAAAAAAGGAGUGUAUGUAGGACAAUACAGUAGUGUGAUAUUUAAUUAGUGUUAUAUUGUAAAGUACAGCCAAAAAUAACAAUAUAGGCUACUGAUUUAAUAGGGCCUAUUGGCUGAAACAUCAAGUAUGCUGACGUGACAAGUAUAAACAAACAUUGUGGUUAGCUUGUUCAUUUUUUGGUAGGCUGAGCCUACACUGACACAAAUCGGAAGAGACAGGCAUCAGAAACACAGCGGCAAGAGUUUUUCGCCUGGUGCUUAGACAAGAAGAGGUGAUGAUGACGACCACGAUAAAGGUUUACCUAAUUAUAUGCAUUGUCGGUGCUGCCGUCGUUUUAUCAAAUGGAGACGAUGAUUAUGAUGGAACUAAUCAUUCAGAUUUUUUCUCUGGCAGUGGUGACUUCUCCCUAUUCAUACCAGACAACCUUUUUGACCUCUCACAACUAUGGCCAGAUGAAGACAACCCACCAUCUCUUUCCUCCUCAGCUACCAGCAACAUCAGGGGCUCAUCUUGUUCCUCCUCCACAGCUAACCUCAACUACUUUUUUCCGGUCUCUGUUCUCUCGGGUUUGUGCAUGUUCGCAUAUUAAAACACAUUUUACGUCAUGUUUGUGGUAACGUUUGUUGUACUUGUAAACACAAUGUAGACUUUUAUUAACCAUUAUGUGAAAAGGCUUAUUUUUAACCUCCUCCUGUGAAAGUACAGGAUUGUUUGGUGAUAUGAUCGUGUUGUGUCUGUCUGCAGAUGAAGUCACUCUAUUCGUCUAUUUCUUGUAUAGAAAAUGUUCUCAACCUUAUUUCAGUAUUUCUAUGGUUUUAACUCCUGUACAUUUAUAUUAUCACUGUAGUUAACUUAAGAACUCAAAGUCCUAUGAGCCUGCUUCCGCUGAAUGACUGAAGCUAAGCAGGUUUGGGCUUAGCUAGAAUCUGGAAGGCAGACCUCCAGGGAAAACUAAGUUGCUGCUGGAACAGAUGUAGGUGGUCCAGUAGGGGGCAGUCUUCCCUCUGGUCCUAAUAGUAAGAUCCCAAUACCCCAGUGCAGUGAUGGGGACACUGUGCUGUAGAGGAUGUUGUCCUUUGGAUGAGACGUUAAACCAAGGUCCUGACUCAUUGUGGUCAUUAAAAAUCCCAUGGCACAAAGAGUAGGGGGUUCCCCGGUGUCACGGAAAAAUUCCACAUCCCCCCCAGAGUAACUGGCUCAAUGUUUCUCUCCCUCAAGCUGAUGUGUGGUGAGUGUUCUGGCGCAAGUUGGCUGCUGGGCAUCACCCAGGUUGGUGCUACACAUUGGUGGUGGUUAAGAUGACCCCUCCCCACUUCACUUAAUGACUGCUUCUGUGAUUUCAAAAACUGUUUGUUAAAAUAUUCCCUCGAUCUGAUCUCAAACAAAACAGAGAUACUAGUUUUUGGGUCCAAGAAUAUGGCAAAACAAAUUCUGCUAUCUGCUGGUUAUGUGUUGGAUCAUGUCCAGUCUGUUGCGAGGAAUCUUGCUGUCUGGUUUGACUGUAAUUUAAGUUUCGAGCAGCACACCACAAAGUUUGUGCAAUCGUGUUUUUAUCAUCUUAGAAUUAUGUGAAAAAUAUGAUAGAUAACUUUUAAUUUCUGUUUUUUAAUUUUAAUAAAAAAUUUUUUAACCUAUUUUGAUUCUGAGCUUGCGUAGUUAAGCACAUUGGCUUCAUCUUUGUAUGAAAUGUGUUACAUAAAUAAAGUUAAUAUUGUUAUUGUGAAAUUGUUGCUUU